rnacentral:rRNA from 1 species
AGUGAACGCUGGCGGUAGGCCUAACACAUGCAAGUCGAACGGCAGCACAGUAAGAGCUUGCUCUUACGGGUGGCGAGUGGCGGACGGGUGAGGAAUACAUCGGAAUCUACUUUUUCGUGGGGGAUAACGUAGGGAAACUUACGCUAAUACCGCAUACGACCUACGGGUGAAAGCAGGGGAUCUUCGGACCUUGCGCGAUUGAAUGAGCCGAUGUCGGAUUAGCUAGUUGGCGGGGUAAAGGCCCACCAAGGCGACGAUCCGUAGCUGGUCUGAGAGGAUGAUCAGCCACACUGGAACUGAGACACGGUCCAGACUCCUACGGGAGGCAGCAGUGGGGAAUAUUGGACAAUGGGCGCAAGCCUGAUCCAGCCAUACCGCGUGGGUGAAGAAGGCCUUCGGGUUGGAAAGCCCUUUUGUUGGGAAAGAAAAGCAGCAGGUUAAUACCCCGCUGUUCUGACGGUACCCAAAGAAUAAGCACCGGCUAACUUCG